rnacentral:rRNA from 1 species
AGUGGCGGACGGGUGAGUAAUGCCUGGGAAACUGCCCGAUGGAGGGGGAUAACCACUGGAAACGGUAGCUAAUACCGCAUAACGUCUUCGGACCAAAGUGGGGGACCUUCGGGCCUCACACCAUCGGAUGUGCCCAGGUGGGAUUAGCUAGUAGGUGGGGUAAUGGCUCACCUAGGCGACGAUCCCUAGCUGGUCUGAGAGGAUGACCAGCCACACUGGAACUGAGACACGGUCCAGACUCCUACGGGAGGCAGCAGUGGGGAAUAUUGCACAAUGGGCGCAAGCCUGAUGCAGCCAUGCCGCGUGUAUGAAGAAGGCCUUCGGGUUGUAAAGUACUUUCAGUGGGGAGGAAGGCGAUGAGGUUAAUAGCCUCGUCGAUUGACGUUACCCGCAGAAGAAGCACCGGCUAACUCCGUGCCAGCAGCCGCGGUAAUACGGAGGGUGCAAGCGUUAAUCGGAAUUACUGGGCGUAAAGCGCACGCAGGCGGUCUGUCAAGUCGGAUGUGAAAUCCCCGGGCUCAACCUGGGAACUGCAUUCGAAACUGGCAGACUAGAGUCUUGUAGAGGGGGGUAGAAUUCCAGGUGUAGCGGUGAAAUGCGUAGAGAUCUGGAGGAAUACCGGUGGCGAAGGCGGCCCCCUGGACAAAGACUGACGCUCAGGUGCGAAAGCGUGGGGAGCAAACAGGAUUAGAUACCCUGGUAGUCCACGCCGUAAACGAUGUCGACUUGGAGGUUGUGCCCUUGAGGCGUGGCUUCCGGAGCUAACGCGUUAAGUCGACCGCCUGGGGAGUACGGCCGCAAGGUUAAAGCUCAAAUGAAUUGACGGGGGCCCGCACAAGCGGUGGAGCAUGUGGUUUAAUUCGAUGCAACGCGAAGAACCUUACCUGGCCUUGACAUCCACGGGAUUCGGCAGAGAUGCCUUAGUGCCUUCGGGAACCGUGAGACAGGUGCUGCAUGGCUGUCGUCAGCUCGUGUUGUGAAAUGUUGGGUUAAGUCCCGCAACGAGCGCAACCCUUAUCCUUUGUUGCCA